UCCUAGUUUCCUAGGCAGUCCCAUCAGAGUGCCUCCUUACGGAGUAGCAACUGACGGCAGGAGUUGCGCUCGUUAAAGGACUUAACCCAACAUCUCACGACACGAGCUGACGACAGCCAUGCAGCACCUGUGUAAUUGUCCGGGGUUUCCCCCGAAAAGCUAUAUUUCCAUAGCGAUCAAAAACAUGUCAAGCCUAGGUAAGGUUCCUCGCGUAGUGUCGAAUUAAACCACAUGUUCCACCGCUUGUGCGGACCCCCGUCAAUUUCUUUGAGUUUUAAUCUUGCGACCGUACUCCCCAGGCGGAUCACUUAUCGCGUUAGCUACGACACUAAAUCUGCAAGCAGAUAUAACGUCCAGUGAUCAUCGUUUACAGCGUGGACUAC
rnacentral:misc_RNA from 1 species